rnacentral:tRNA from 1 species
GGGAGCGUAGCUCAGUGGUUAGAGCAGGCGACUCAUAAUCGCUCGGUCGCGGGUUCGAAUCCUGCCGCUCCCA